AUGUUAUUAAGCUAUGCAACUCUUUUGUGCGGAUCCUUAUUAUCUGCCGCUAUUCUAAUCAUUAGAUUUCAAAAUAAUUUCCAUUUCUUUUCUAAAAAGAAAAAAAAUGUUUUAAAUAAAACAUUUCUCUUUAGUGAUAUUAAAUAUUUUUAUGCAAAAAGAAGUGCUUUAGAAAGAACCUUUGUCCCUUCAUUUCCAAAUUAUUAAAAAUAUCAAUUAAUGGAGCGUUUGGAUUCUUGGAGUUAUCGUGUCAUUAGCCUAGGAUUUACCCUUUUAACCGUAGGUAUUCUUUGUGGAGCAGUAUGGGCUAAUGAGGCAUGGGGAUCCUAUUGGAAUUAGGAUCCUAAGGAAACUUGGGCAUUUAUUACUUGGACCAUAUUCGCAAUUUAUUUACAUAGUAGAACAAAUCCAAAUUGGAAGGGUACGAAUUCUGCACUUAUAGCUUCGAUAGGAUUUCUUAUAAUUUGGAUUUGUUAUUUUGGUAUAAAUCUAUUAGGAAUAGGCUUUCAUAGUUAUGGUUCGAUUACAUUAACACCUAAAUGA
rnacentral:rRNA from 1 species